GACGGUGGGGUCUUUCCCGGUUUCAACACAUCUGUACAGUGCCAGUCAGUCAGUCAAUUGUAUUUACUGAGGACUUACUGUGUGCGGAGCACUGUACUAGGCACCUGGGAGACUACAAUAUAGCAAUAUAAUAGAUACAUUCCCCACCCACAACGAUCUUGAGGGCUAGAGGGGAUCUUAGAGUCUGACUCACAAUCUGCACAAUUCCCCUCUGUCAUGCGGCACAGAGAGGCUCAGAGGCUCAGCUAAAGUCACACAGUAAGCAGCCCUACCAGCUGGAAGGGGGCUCCGGUUUGAAACAGGUCUCAGCUCCAGGCAUUUUCUGAGGUGGAGAGGGGAUGGCGUGAGGGUCUUGUCCCGUGUUCUUGUACUUGAGCUGCCCCUCGUGAGAUCCCAAACUGUGGGGUCUGAUCUAAAUCCGAUGAAAAGGAGCAGGGGUGGGGCUGACACUAAUCAAACCAUCUGCGUCUGCUGGCUUAUCAGCUUCUUUCUCAGCCGGCAACCUCGCUGGAGCUCAACUGGACUAAGGCCCGCCUUCCCUCCUGAGUCACCUCGGGGCCCGCCCGGCCUUGCGGUGCUUACACCUGGUGGGAAACGAGACACAGAGAGAAGGUGGUGGUUGCAGGGGAGGACGCUUCUAACACCCUGGGUCUGA
rnacentral:lncRNA from 1 species